UGCUGGCUUCGGCAGCACAUAUAUUAAAGUUGGAAUGAUGCAGAGAAGAUUGGCAUGGCCCCUGUGCAAGGACGACAAGCAAAUUCAUGAAGUGGUCCAUAAAAAA